CAGAGCUUACGCCCCCAAGGGCAGAACCUCUCCACCCUUUGUGUAUUAUUACUUUGUUGCUUUGGCGGGCCGCCUCCGGGCCUCGCGUGCCCGCCAAUGACCUAACCCUUUUUAUUCAUGUCGUCUGAGCACUAUACAAUAGUUA
rnacentral:rRNA from 2 species